CCGGCGCACGGGUGAGUAACACGUAUGCAAUCCACCUGUAACAGGGGAGUAACCCGGAGAAAUCCGGACUAAUACCCAUAAUAUGGGCGCUCCGCAUGGAGAGCCCAUUAAAGAGAGCAAUUUUGGUUACAGACGAGCACGCGCUCCAUUAGCCAGUUGGCGGGGUAACGGCCCACCAAAGCGACGAUGGAUAGGGGUUCUGAGAGGAAGGUCCCCCACAUUGGAACUGAGACACGGUCCAA
rnacentral:rRNA from 1 species